UGUGUGUGUGUGUGUGUGUGUGUGUGUGUGUGUGUUUGGGGGGCUGGGCACAAGCCCAGGCCAGGUCUGGUCUGUGCUAGGUGAGUAGUCAGGCAGAGACUCCCCUACCCAUUUCAUUUUUUACUUUGAGACAUGCGGGCCUCAAACUUGUAGUCUUCCUGCCUCAGCCUUCUGUGUGGCUGGGAUUGCUGGGGGGCACUGUGCUUGACAUGUGGCCAUCUGUGUUGUUUAAUUUGUCAAACAGCUGAUCAGAUUCUUACCGAAACUUGUCUCUGUGUGGACCUUGCUGACAGAACAGCCUCAGAGAAUGCAGGCAGAGGGCAGGAACAGCAUAACAGCAAGAUAAAACACUUCAAAGCAGGAGGAAACCUCCGUGAGCCCACUCCUAGCAGAUAAAUGGUUUUUGGUUUCUGGUGCUUGUUCCCUUGCAAGCCUUCAGUUUCAUUUGAGCCAUAAAUUGCUCCAUCCUCUGUCUUCAGUGGUGUGAAGAGUGCUGCUGAUGCUGCCGCCCUUGUCCAGCUUUCCUGAAGGGUAACAGACCACAGACCCCACUGCCAUCAUUGCUGUCGCAUUCCACUGGUUUUCUGAGACAGGGUCUCCUAUGUAGCCCAGGCUGGCCUUGAACUUCCUCCUGCCUCUGCUUCCUGAGUGCUGGGAUUACAGGUGCACACUGCCACGCCUGGCUGAUGGUGGCUGUUUUGAUAGCUACAUAGCUAAUAACUCAACUGUUCGCUGACACUGUUCCCCGAUGCAGUUGCUGUUACAGGAAUCCUGUGGUUGAGGCCUUUCACCAGCAUGGCCCAGGAGUAACCCUGGUGCUCUGGAGGGACAGGCGGAGGCCAACGGCCUGACAGUGCUGGUCUACUUCGGUGAGCAAAGCCCUUUCUGGUGUGCCUGUUUCAGACAGCAGGGCCAGCUUACACCACGUCCUCGAAGCUUCCUUAACCACGGGUCCCUGGGAUUUGUAGGUGUUCACCCGAGGGGAUGCCCUGCACCCACAGCAGCCCCGCGAGGUGUUCAAGGUUUAAAAAAAGAGCUGGGGAUGUAGUUCAGUGCAAAGGUCCUUGGUUCACUCCCCAGUACCACAAAACUAAAAUAAAACAAAUAAAAAAGCAAAACUAAUCUGUCCUGAUGGGCCACAUCCAGGCAGUGGAGACUUGUGGGCCAGGAUGCAGGGGACCCGCGUGGUUACUGGCUCUCCACCAAGGCUCGAGGCUCCCUGAGCUGCAG